GCCGGGCGUGGUGGCUCACGCCUGUAAUCCUAGCACUUUGGGAGGCUGAGGCAGGCGGAUCACCUGAGGUCGGGAGUCCGAGACCAGCCUGACCAACAUGGAGAAACCCUGUCUCUA
rfam:Chlorocebus sabaeus isolate 1994-021 chromosome 16, whole genome shotgun sequence.